UCAGAAAAUUUAAGCCAUGCUAUCUCUCAGUGUAGGAAAGCAUAGGCUCUGGAGAUUCCUAUAAUUCAAAGAAAAUGGACUGGGAUAACAUCUGAGUUCUCAUGCUGCCAAAAUCCUCCUGAGGAGAACAGCCAGGAGGCUAAUAAUGAAGGGGCCAGAGAAGGAGGCCAGUGCUACGAGGGUUAUCUCUCAGCCUCAGAUGCUGGAUAAGUCGAAGAAGGCAGAAUCGCUUUUGGAUGACAUUCAGAAAGGCCGGAGUGAUUAUUUGGAAGAGAAAAGCCUGCCUAUUCUUUUCCAAGGUGCCUGAAUAUUCCCCCAGCCUGCCUGUCGGUCCACUGAUGAAUUACUAGCAACCUGCCUUAGACAAAGGAUGCACUCGGAGCCCCGCCACACCUUAAGCCACGCUCUGAAGGAUCUGCCCAGCUCACUUUUAAUCACGAGCAAGGAAUUACCCACAUGGAGUCAGCAGAAAAUGAGAAAGUAAAGCUCGUGGUGAGAAUAAUUCCAGCAAGUGCCAAGGGGCUAGUUGAGGAAUGGCUUCACGAGGGGGACUAUUUAUAACCCGCCAAUCUGGGAGGCAGCAUUUGGUCCUCCUAUGCCUCCUUUCUCCUGAUGUGGUCUUUCUUCUGAAACAAAGAAGAAAUAGUCAAAUCAGAUUUGCCUUCUUGGAAAUGUGGUCCAGAUUGCUCUACUCCCAAGCUCCAAAAAAGGUAGACAUUGGGUGGGCUAGAUCCACACCUCCUCAGAUCCACGGAGCCACUGAGGGUUGUUUCCAGCUUUACAGGUGUAGUAUAGUCGAGAAACUCCGGGUGUCAGGGGAAAGGGGGCCUUGGAGCAGAGUUGGGUUCUAAUCUCUCUGCCACUUCAACUUCAGGAACUGGGGCAAGUCAUUUAAGCUCUGUGAGCCUCUUUUUCUUUAAAAUGUGGAGAAGUAAUGCACCUCGGGGGGAUAUUGUAAGGAUUAAAGGAGCGUUAGGCAUACCAGUGCCUAACAAAGCAUUUAGCAUGUCAAAAAACAGUUCAUGAAAUAUUACGUUUUCCCCAUCCUCUGUCUCUUCCCUCUUUUGUUCCCUUUUCUCCCCCUCUCCCCUCAGAUGUCAGUCUAAAACCAGCCCCUUUUAGAGAAAAAAGACUAGAGUGCCUAAUAAAAUACAAGCAAGCAACUAAAAAAAAAAAAGAAUGCCUAGUUGCCUCCUUUCCAUAUGUGGCUGAAAUCUCUCUGUUGGAUCAAUAGUUUAAUUUUUUUCCUUGAACUGUUUUAACGAUGAUCGACCUAUUUUCACUGCUACUGUUUUCUGUAUAUUUAUUUUUGCUUGAUUGUUUUAAUAUUGACUAUUGACCUCUACUC